UGGGGAAUAUUGCACAAUGGGCGAAAGCCUGAUGCAGCGACGCCGCGUGAGGGAUGACGGCCUUCGGGUUGUAAACCUCUUUCAGCAGGGAAGAAGCGAAAGUGACGGUACCUGCAGAAGAAGCGCCGGCUAACUACGUGCCAGCAGCCGCGGUAAUACGUAGGGCGCAAGCGUUGUCCGGAAUUAUUGGGCGUAAAGAGCUCGUAGGCGGUUAGUCGCGUCUGCUGUGAAAACUCGAGGCUCAACCUCGGGCUUGCAGUGGGUACGGGCUGACUAGAGUGCGGUAGGGGUGACUGGAAUUCCUGGUGUAGCGGUGGAAUGCGCAGAUAUCAGGAGGAACACCGAUGGCGAAGGCAGGUCACUGGGCCGCAACUGACGCUGAGGAGCGAAAGCAUGGGGAGCGAACAGGAUUAGAUACCCUGGUAGUCCAUGCCGUAAACGUUGGGCACUAGGUGUGGGGUCCAUUCCACGGAUUCCGUGCCGCAGCAAACGCAUUAAGUGCCCCGCCUGGGGAGUACGGCCGCAAGGCUAAAACUCAAAUGAAUUGACGGGGUCAUAGCUGUUU
rnacentral:rRNA from 1 species